AUUGAACGCUGGCGGCAGGCCUAACACAUGCAAGUCGAGCGGAGCAGCGGACGGGGGAGUGAGACCUAGGAAUCGGCCUGGUAGUGGUGGAGAGGGACAGCAAACGGGCGCUGAUGCUGCAUACUCACAGAUGAGCAUAGGUCGGAUUAGCUAGUGGGUGGGGUAAAGGCCUACCAAGGCCACGAUCCGUAACUGGUCUGAGAGGAUGAGCAGUCACACUGGAACUGAGACACGGUCCAGACUCCUACGGGAGGCAGCAGUGGGGAAUAUUGGACAAUGGGCGAAAGCCUGAUGCAGCCAUGCCGCGUGUGUGAAGAAGGUCUUCGGAUUGUAAAGCUCUUUAAGUUGGGAGGCGUUACCAACAGAAUAAGCACCGGCUAACUUCGUGCCAGCAGCCGCGGUAAUAC
rnacentral:rRNA from 1 species